rnacentral:rRNA from 1 species
CAGCCGCCGCGGGAAAACGAAGGGGGCUAGCGUUGCUCGGAAUUACUGGGCGUAAAGGGCGCGUAGGCGGACAGUUCAGUCGGGGGUGAAAGCCCGGGGCUCAACCUCGGAAUUGCCUUCGAUACUGGCUAUCUUGAGUAUGAGAGAGGUGUGUGGAACUCCGAGUGUAGAGGUGAAAUUCGUAGAUAUUCGGAAGAACACCAGUGGCGAAGGCGACACACUGGCUCAUUACUGACGCUGAGGCGCGAAAGCGUGGGGAGCAAACAGGAUUAGAUACCCCUGUAGUCCCUGUCUCUUAUAC